GCCGGGCGUGGUGGCGGGCGCCUGUAGUCCCAGCUACUCGGGAGGCUGUGGCAGGAGAAUUGCUUGAACCCAGGAGGUGGAGAUUGCAGUGAGCUAAGAUCACGCCACUGCACUCCAGCCUGGGUGACAGGGCAAGACUCUGUCUCAA
rnacentral:SRP_RNA from 1 species